CAGUGGGAGCACGCUUAGGCGUGUGACUGCGUACCUUUUGUAUAAUGGGUCAGCGACUUAUAUUCUGUAGCAAGGUUAACCGAAUAGGGGAGCCGAAGGGAAACCGAGUCUUAACUGGGCGUUAAGUUGCAGGGUAUAGACCCGAAACCCGGUGAUCUAGCCAUGGGCAGGUUGAAGGUUGGGUAACACUAACUGGAGGACCGAACCGACUAAUGUUGAAAAAUUAGCGGAUGACUUGUGGCUGGGGGUGAAAGGCCAAUCAAACCGGGAGAUAGCUGGUUCUCCCCGAAAGCUAUUUAGGUAGCGCCUCGUGAAUUCAUCUCCGGGGGUAGAGCACUGUUUCGGCAAGGGGGUCAUCCCGACUUACCAACCCGAUGCAAACUGCGAAUACCGGAGAAUGUUAUCACGGGAGACACACGGCGGGUGCUAACGUCCGUCGUGAAGAGGGAAACAACCCAGACCGCCAGCUAAGGUCCCAAAGUCAUGGUUAAGUGGGAAACGAUGUGGGAAGGCCCAGACAGCCAGGAUGUUGGCUUAGAAGCAGCCAUCAUUUAAAGAAAGCGUAAUAGCUCACUGGUCGAGUCGGCCUGCGCGGAAGAUGUAACGGGGCUAAACCAUG
rnacentral:rRNA from 2 species